CCUACGGGUGGCAGCAGUGGGGGAUAUUGCACAAUGGGGGAAACCCUGAUGCAGCGACGCCGCGUGUGGGAAGACGGUCCUCUGGAUUGUAAACCACUGUCCCCAGGGACGAAGAUGACGGUACCUGGGGAGGCCGCUCCGGCUAACUACGUGCCAGCAGCCGCGGUACUACGUAGGGAGCGAGCGUUGUCCGGAAUUACUGGGUGUAAAGGGAGCGUAGGCGGGACUGCAAGUUGGGUGUAAAAUCUACCGGCUCAACCGGUAGCCGCACUCAAAACUGCAGGUCUUGAGUGAGUUAGAGGCAGGCGGAAUGCCUAGUGUAGCGGUGAAAUGCGUAGAUAUUAGGAGGAACACCAGGGGCGAAGGCGGCGUGCGGGGCUUUGACUGACGCUGAGGCUCGAAAGUGUGGGGAGCAAACAGGAUUAGAUACCCUAGUAGUC
rnacentral:rRNA from 1 species